rnacentral:miRNA from 1 species
GGUCCUGGUCCUGGUUCUGGUCCUGGUCCUGGUCCUGGUUCUGGUCCUGGUCCUGGUCCUGGUUCUGGUCCUGGUC